UUUUUUCUCUCCUGCUUCCCUCAUCUGUUCUCUUCCAAAGAAGCUGGUCCUUAGCCUGUAUUGCGGAGCAAGCUUUCGGCGACCAGCUGGACCCUGGGCACCCUUCUUCGAACAAUGGCUUUUAAUUCUCAGACUAGAACGUUUAGGAUUACAAAAGAAACUGGUUCUUUUCACAUUCUUAUUCUUGUGAUGUAGCAUUCCGCAUAUAUAUAUAUAUAUAUAUAUAUAUAUAUAUAUAUAUGUAUCCAACUAUCCUAAAAGACACUACCCUUCAUCAUUCCAUGCCAUUAGACAUGUAUAGGACCAUGCAUGGUGAUCUCCUCCAGACAAAAGUAAAUGCUGGUGCAGAACAGUGUCUUCCUGGUACUACACAUGAAGAUGUCCCGCUCUCCCCUGCUCAAGGAGAGAGUGCCUGACCUGAGCUGGGCCCAUCAGAUCCAGUACUUACCUGGAAUACGAAAAAGAUGGAGAGAGUGACCAAAGAUUACAAAAAUCUCUGAAGCUUAUCUACUUGAGAGAGAGUCCCUGAAGAUACUGGCCUCUCAUUCCUGCUAUGUAUAUCCAAUGUGACUGAACUCUGAAUAAAAUAUACAAGUUAUAACAAUGUAGCAAUUGACCCAGCAAACGAGGACACAAACGUGUUGGAGGGAUUUGAGUUUGAUGUCUUGCAUACAAUGUGAUCCCACUGUAUGACUACACAAAUGUUGGCAAAAGUGAGUUCAGAGGAAAUGGUAGGCAAGUACUUCCCAGUUUUGGCCAGAAGAUGGAGAAAAAAGAAUUCUCAAAAAAUGUUAAAGGUGUCUACAGAGAAAUAGACAAGUGAUGCACGACAGAUACAUGUGUCAGUCUGGUCCCUGCAGUUGUAUUUGUAAUAAUACACAUUGGAGCAAUUUCAUGGCCAUCGGUUAGAGAAUGUUUGAGGAAUGAUCCAUUCAUAUCAAGAAGGACAUUUCAAAGAUCAAAACCUGAUGGAAAUGCUGGAGACCAUGGCGCUGAUAGGAGCUCAUGCGUGUGGACCAAUUACUACGUGACAGGCAUU
rnacentral:lncRNA from 10 species